CCUACGGGUGGCAGCAGUGGGGAAUAUUGGACAAUGGGGGCAACCCUGAUCCAGCCAUGCCGCGUGUGUGAAGAAGGCCCUCGGGUUGUAAAGCACUUUCAGUGAGGAAGAACGCCUGGUGGUUAAUACCCAUCAGGAAAGACAUCACUCACAGAAGAAGCACCGGCUAACUCCGUGCCAGCAGCCGCGGUAAUACGGAGGGUGCGAGCGUUUACUCGGAAUUACUGGGCGUAAAGCGCGCGUAGGUGGCUUGAUAAGCCGGUUGUGAAAGCCCCGGGCUCAACCUGGGAACGGCAUCCGGAACUGUCAAGCUAGAGUGCAGGAGAGGAAGGUAGAAUUCCCGGUGUAGCGGUGAAAUGCGUAGAGAUCGGGAGGAAUACCAGUGGCGAAGGCGGCCUUCUGGACUGACACUGACACUGAGGUACGAAAGCGUGGGUAGCAAACAGGAUUAGAUACCCCUGUAGUC
rnacentral:rRNA from 1 species